GACGAACGCUGGCGGCGUGCUUAACACAUGCAAGUCGAACGGAAAGGCCCUGCUUUUGUGGGGUGCUCGAGUGGCGAACGGGUGAGUAACACGUGAGUAACCUGCCCUUGACUUUGGGAUAACUUCAGGAAACUGGGGCUAAUACCGGAUAGGAGCUCCUGCUGCAUGGUGGGGGUUGGAAAGUUUCGGCGGUUGGGGAUGGACUCGCGGCUUAUCAGCUUGUUGGUGGGGUAGUGGCUUACCAAGGCUUUGACGGGUAGCCGGCCUGAGAGGGUGACCGGCCACAUUGGGACUGAGAUACGGGCCAGACUCCUACGGGAGGCAGAAGUGGGGAAUAUUGCACAAUGGGCGGAAGGCUGAUGCCGCAACGCCGCGUGCGGGAUGACGGCCUUCGGGUUGUAAACCGCUUUCGCCUGUGACGAAGCGUGAGUGACGGUAAUGGGUAAAGAAGCACCGGCUAACUACGUG
rnacentral:rRNA from 1 species